AUGGCCACAUCACAUUGAAACAUUGGUUCCUGUAUGAUCACCCAAGUUAAGCCAUGUCAAGCCUUGUCAGUACUUAGAUGGGUGACUCUUUGGGAAUACCAGGUGCUGUAAG